rnacentral:ncRNA from 1 species
UAAAAGUUUUAWUCUAACUUAAAAGUUAGAUUAAAUUAUGUUUUACAUGUAAAUUUUAGUGUGAUUAUAGGCUUGUUUUAUAUAGAUAAGUAUGAUUUGUAGUUCGCAGUGAAUAUAUUUAAAUUUUAGCUUAGGCUAGAUUUAGCAGUAAUUUUUAAUAUUGACAAAAUUUGUGCCAGCAGUCGCGGUUACACAGGUAAUAUAAUUUAACUUUUUUGGGUAUAGUUAACGAGUAAUAUUAAUUUUAAAUUUGAAUUUAUUGGGUGAAAUUUUAAAUUUAAUUAAAAGUUGAUUUUUGUUAGUGAGGCUAAGAAAUUCUUAUUUAGACUAGGAUUAGAGACCCUAUUAUUUUGAACGUAAAUUUGUUUCCUAAAUCAGUAUUAGUUAUGUUCUUGAAAAUUAAAGAUUUUGGCGGUAUUUUAGUCCAUUCAGAGGAACCUGUCCUGUAAUUGAUGGUCCACGAUUUACUAGACCUUUUCUUUUAGUUUAUAUAUCGUCGUAGGUUGAAUACUUUAGAAGAAUUUAAGUAUUCAUGAUUUUUUUAUAAAAAGUAAAUCAGAUCAAGGUGUAGCUUACGAAAAGGGAGAGAUGGGUUACAUUAAAUUUAUUUUAAGCGAUUGUUCUUUUAAAUGGAACAUGAAUAUGGAUUUGAAAGUAAUUUUAAUUAGAUAAUUAUGGUGAUUUUGGCUCUGGAAUAUGCACAUAUCGCCCGUCGCUUUCACUUUAAGGUGAAAUAAGUCGUAACAGAGUAGGCUUACCGGAAGGUGAGCCUUGAAAGGC